rnacentral:rRNA from 1 species
ANAGNNGNCCUGGCUCNNAUUGAACGCUGGCGGCAUGCCUUACACAUGCAAGUCGAACGGUAGAGGGGCAACCCUUGAGAGUGGCGAACGGGUGAGUAAUAUAUCGGAACGUGCCCAGUCGUGGGGGAUAACGCAGCGAAAGCUGCGCUAAUACCGCAUACGAUCUAAGGAUGAAAGCGGGGGAUCGCAAGACCUCGCGCGAUUGGAGCGGCCGAUAUCAGAUUAGGUAGUUGGUGGGGUAAAAGCCCACCAAGCCGACGAUCUGUAGCUGGUCUGAGAGGACGACCAGCCACACUGGGACUGAGACACGGCCCAGACUCCUACGGGAGGCAGCAGUGGGGAAUUUUGGACAAUGGGCGCAAGCCUGAUCCAGCAAUGCCGCGUGCAGGACGAAGGCCUUCGGGUUGUAAACUGCUUUUGUACGGAGCGAAACGGUCUGGGUUAAUACCCUGGGCUAAUGACGGUACCGUAAGAAUAAGCACCGGCUAACUACGUGCCAGCAGCCGCGGUAAUAC